CACCCAGCGUCAAAAAUGACCAAUUCAUGAUUGAUCUUAUUUUAUCUCUAUUCCUACUUAUCUCUUUACCUCUAGGUUUUUUGAAGUCAAUCAUCAAUACCUUUAACUUAUAUAUAUUGGAGUAUGAAUCUCUAAAAGGAUUAUUUUGGAAUCUUCUGGAUAUGAGAGAUAGUAAAAAGGUGAAACAGUAGGACUGGAACAUAAGGGAAGAAAUAGAGAAAACCAUGGUUUCCAUACUCUUUGGAGAAUAAUUCUUUGUUGGUUUGUUUGUAUAAGGCUCUUUGAAGAGAUCAACAAAGGGAAUAAUGGUGAGUUUUCAUUUAGUACCAGAUCUGAGUUCUGUCUAAGCCUUACUGGCAAUUAAAUAUAUCAGUCAAAUUUAUAUAAAAACAAAUAUCAUUGAAAUAAAUUAGAAGUAAUUGCUGAGAGAGUAAAUCACAUGAGAUAGUUAUUCACUCUACUUGGUCACAUGACAUGAAAAAAUUGUUCCUCUUAGAGCUGUGUAGUGCCAUGCAAAAUUGUAGAGAUUUUCCUCCACCUCCUUUUCACAUGCUUCUCAUACUGUAGUACCUUCUAACCCUACAGCCAUCGCCCUAUUCUGGAUUCAAAUGUCUAUAUUAUGCUGUAGUCCUUCACACAGCGCCUAGAGCAGAAAUGAGGGACCCUGCCUCUGUCACCCACCUGUAUCUACUAUCUACCAAAUCCUGUUGAAUGUAUCUCCUAAAAAAGAGCCAAACAAACAGAUUGAGUCUACAUCCUAAAAAACUCUUGAGAAACCAUUUACUCCUCUCCAUUAUCAUUGCCUAAGUCAUUGCUUUACCCAGAACAUCAUUUUCUCACCAAUUAUAGUGAGAUCAACUACUCAUUACUCAUCUUGCUUCAUUUAUCCUCCUGUUUCCUUUCUUAUGUGACUCCAUGUGGCAAUAUUUAUCCUAUUUAUAUCUUCAAGCCAUUUUCUGUAUUGUUAUCUGAGUCAUCUUUUAAAAUACAAGUUAAAUGCUUCUAUGACCCCUAUUGUUUUUUCAAUUUAAAUUCAAUUAAUUAACAUAUAGUGUAUUAUUAGUUUCAGAGGUAGAGUUCAGUGAUUCAUCAGUUCUAUAUAAAUGCAGUGCUCAUUACAUCUCUUGCCCUCCUUAAUGCCCAUUACCCUGUUGCCUGCCCCCCAAUCUCCUCCAGCAACCCUCAGUUUGUUUCCUGUGGUUAAGAGUCUCUUAUGGUUUGCCUCCUAUCUGAUUACAUCUUGUUUUAUUUUUCCCUCCCU
rnacentral:lncRNA from 1 species